UACAGAGGGUGCGAGCGUUGUUCGGAAUUAUUGGGCGUAAAGGGCGCGUAGGCGGUUGGGUAAGUCACCUGUGAAAUCUCCUGGCUCAAUUGGGAGCUUGCAGGCGAAACUGCUUGACUGGAGUAUGGGAGAGGUGCGUGGAAUUCCCGGUGUAGCGGUGAAAUGCGUAGAUAUCGGGGAGGAACACCUGUGGCGAAAGCGGCGCACUGGACCAUAACUGACGCUGAGGCGCGAAAGCUAGGGGAGCAAACAGG
rnacentral:rRNA from 1 species